GGGAGGAUAACUCAGCUGGGAGAGUGUCACCUCGACAAGGUGAAAGUCGCAGGUUCGAGUCCUGUUCUUCCCACCA
rnacentral:tRNA from 1 species